rnacentral:rRNA from 1 species
CAGCCGCGGUAAUACGGAGGAUCCGAGCGUUAUCCGGAUUUAUUGGGUUUAAAGGGAGCGUAGAUGGAUGUUUAAGUCAGUUGUGAAAGUUUGCGGCUCAACCGUAAAAUUGCAGUUGAUACUGGAUAUCUUGCGUUAUCCGUGUUUAUUGGGUUUAAAGGGAGCGUAGAUGGAUGUGUUAGAUAUCACGAAGAACUCCGAUUGCGAAGGCAGCCUGCUAAGCUGCAACUGACAUUGAGGCUCGAAAGUGUGGGU